rnacentral:rRNA from 1 species
ACGUAGGUGGCGAGCGUUAUCCGGAUUCAUUGGGCGUAAAGCGCUUGUAGGUGGCCGGCUAAGUUGGACGUGAAAACCCCGGGCUCAACUCGGGGGGGCCGUUCAAUACUGGCGGGCUGGAGGGCGUCAGAGGGCAGUGGAAUCCCUGGUGUAGCAGUGAAAUGCGUAGAUAUGCGGAGGAACACCGAUGGCGAAGGCAAUCCCCUGGGCCUGCACUGACGCUCAUGCACGAAAGCGUGGGGAGCAAACAGGA